GAAUAAGCACCGGCUAACUACGUGCCAGCAGCCGCGGUAAUACGUAGGGUGCGAGCGUUAAUCGGAAUUACUGGGCGUAAAGCGUGCGCAGGCGGUUGUGCAAGACAGGUGUGAAAUCCCCGGGCUUAACCUGGGAACUGCACUUGUGACUGCACGGCUAGAGUACGGUAGAGGGGGAUGGAAUUCCGCGUGUAGCAGUGAAAUGCGUAGAUAUGCGGAGGAACACCGAUGGCGAAGGCAAUCCCCUGGACCUGUACUGACGCUCAUGCACGAAAGCGUGGGGAGCAAACAGGAUUAGAUACCCUGGUAGUCCACGCCCUAAACGAUGUCAACUGGUUGUUGGACGGCUUGCUGUUCAGUAACGAAGCUAACGCGUGAAGUUGACCGCCUG
rnacentral:rRNA from 1 species